rnacentral:snRNA from 1 species
GGACGUGAGGGCAGUCUGGCUGUGACAUCUGUCACCCUAAGGUCGCCAGGGUUGAUUUGGCUGAUCUGGCUGGCUAGGCAGGUGACCCCUUCCUCCCUCAAUGCUCCGUGAGUGUCCCUCUGGAAGCUACGCACUUGCUCGACCUUUCCUGACAGAGGACUGUUCUUAGGUCAAGGGUAUACAAAUAGCUAUGCUCCCUUGCUAGGCCCUCACACAAGAUUUCGAAGUCCAUUUGUAGCAGAACGCAGGGUAGCCAAGCUUCCAAGACUUUAGACAUAUCCAAGUAAGUCUGGGAAAACCU